UCAAACAUAUGUGGAAUCAAUUAUUUCAGUGGUAAAAGAAGAAAAUGAAGAGUCAAACUCUUGAAGGAUUCCAAUUUAAACAUUUAAUAGAAAGAAUUCUUGCCUGCUUAGAGAUACAAAGGAGGCGUACUGAAAGGAGGCAGACUAUAACAGACAGAGAUGCUGUUAAUGACAAGAUUCCUAGACCUUGACUUCUGUUGUCUAAGGCAUGAUCCAUCAUCACACAGCAACAUGUACAAUAAAGUACACUUGUGUCUGUGGGAGUGUUAUGACUCAGGAUGUGGAUUUUCAGCAGGAGUACAAUGAUACAUUGGAGGUCAACUUUUAAUGAGUUAUCUCCCAGGUUAAUUUUGUGGCCGCUAUAGCAGAAUGGAGUCUCAGUGCCCGGCCCUGGGCGAACUCCUUCUGUUGCCCUAGUAAUCAGUUCCUGUGCAAGCUCUUCAGGAAAGGUCAUUUCUCUAAUGUGGAAAAUAUUGCACAGACAAGUCUCAGUGUAUUAGCUUAUUGCGGACCAUUAGCUCCAGCAAAACAUCUUUUGAAGACAGAGCACUGAAUGCAUUGUCCAGGUCAGCUGAAGUGUGGCUGAUGUCAGCUCAAGUUCCAGUUUAGUUUUAGUGUCUAUAUGGGACCGGUGGACUAUCUCAGGGCUGUGAAGACCUGCAAGAGGGCGAGUCCAGUUGUUCAGUUACCUGAUUCAGUAUAUUGGACAAGAAAAGAAAUCACACCUUCCAGUUUCCUCUGAGAGGCCCCUUGGGAUGUAGCAGGAGAGAUUCCAGGUAGACUGAGCCAUGAUCUUCUGUGAAAUCCGUAAGAAACACGUCUGAAAAAUCACUAGUACUGGAAUGAUGCCGGCGACAUGAUUGUGAAACCCUUCCUGUCCAUGUUACUGACACUCCUGCAACAUACGGGUUCACUUGGCUUUCACAGAAGGAGCUCUGUCUGCAUUUGUUGAAUAAUGCUUGAGACUGAAGGUGAAAGAAAUGAUUAUUUCCUCAAAACUCUAAGUAAGAUGACACUCCAGGAAGAUGAGCCGCACUUUUAAUACCUCCAGCAGAUUCGGGGUGAAUGUCACUCCAGGGUUGCUGAUUUAUCUUCACUGUCCCAACCUACAAGUGAUCUCAAGUUGGAACUGAAACUUUGGGCCAAUGAGUAUCAGGAAGAAGGACUCCAGCUCUAGUACUUCAACAUCAGAUCCUCACUUUGGAAGACGUGCUCACAUCUCAUUCAACAGGGUCUGUGGUAAAUGUUGAAGCAAUGAAAGAAUGAAAUGCAAGUGAGCAAAGACAGUGCAUCAGGGUCACUGAACGCUGCUUCCUGAGGCCAGCUGAAGCCCAUAUCUCUGAGCAGAGAGAGAAACACUUUUACCAGUUAGGUGUAAAAUGAGACAUAAAUGGGUUGUCUGGUUAACUCAACAGUCACCAAAAAUUUGGUAAGGCAGAGACCCAUUUCUCAAAUAUUUCUUGCUAAACUGAGGUUUGACCUUUUGCACUAUUUCUACAUAAAUAAAAAAGUUUUGAGUCAGCCAUCACCAUCAAUCGUCUGCCUGUAUCUAAAAUGAUGAGUACGGAGUUCCAUAUGUUAUGAGUCAAACUCUUCCUUCAUAUGCAAUAUACCAGCUUUAUAUUAAACUAUCUGCAAAUAUCUGACGCGAAUCUCAUUCUGAGACAUGAGAUCUGGAGACAGUUACUGCAGAGCAGAGCGGCAAGGUCUGAUUAGAUCGGGUGCUAUUUUAAGGAGGCUAAAUCCAUUUAGAUUUGUUCGAAAUGUGGGUUUGCCUUAGGAAAGACUCAGAAAAUUUUGUGACUUUAAACCAAGUUGGCAAAGUAUGA